GAGGCCCUCUUGGACAACACUUCCUCUCCUGCCCAUGGUGGGAGGUUGGGAAGGACAUUCCCCCAUUUCCAUUUGCUCUGCCAUUCAAAACCUUGUGAGGGCCCUCAGGGAAGAAUCCCUUUGCAGAUGAGGAAACUGAGGCCCCACGUGGUGAAGACAAUUUUUACCCGAAUCCACCCACAACAAGAGACCAUUUGGAUAAUGUACAUUAUGGGAAGAGAACAGAGUCUCAGUGAAGAUCAUGUUUCCCCAGCAACACAGGUGCCAGGAGUAGCUGGCUCUGGUCCCAGCCCAGACUCAGAAAUCCUGAGCCACCAGACCAUUUCUAGAUUAACAAAGGCCUGCAUUAAUUUGAUUUCAGUGACCCACUGGAAACCAGUGUCAGCAUAACAACAGUUACGAGAGCUAAACCUACAAAAUAGAAACACAAGUAAAACUUGUUCAAGUGGUUUGCAGUCAUUGAACAUAGAUCAGCUCCUAUGAAAACAAACUCCAUGGAACACAGGAGCUAUGUGGAGAGUUGAUGGAGGGACAUUCCAGGCAGAGAGAACAGCAAACACAAAGGCCUUGAAGGGCUCAACACCACAUGGAAGCUGCCAAGGCUUGGGGCUCGCACCAUCUGAAGACAUGGUCUGAACUCUACGUUGGCCCUUUCAGCCAUGGCUGGAGCAGCUGGAACGCAGGGCAUCAAGUCUCUUGGCUGCACACAGCUCAGGGAAGCUGGACCUGGCCCAUGAAACCACUUUUUCUUCCUAUGCCUCCAGACCUGUGAUGGGAGGAGCUGCCAUGAAGACCUCUGACAUGCCCUAGAAACAUUUUCCCCAUUGUCUUAGGGAUUAACAUUCUGUGCCUUGUUGCUUAAGUAAAUUUCUGCCUCAUUGUCAGGCUGCAAAUUUUCUA
rnacentral:lncRNA from 1 species